GACGAACGCUGGCGGCGUGCCUAAUACAUGCAAGUAGAACGCUGAAGGAGGAGCUUGCUUCUCUGGAUGAGUUGCGAACGGGUGAGUAACGCGUAGGUAACCUGCCUGGUAGCGGGGGAUAACUAUUGGAAACGAUAGCUAAUACCGCAUAAGAGUAGAUGUUGCAUGACAUUUACUUAAAAGGUGCAAUUGCAUCACUACCAGAUGGACCUGCGUUGUAUUAGCUAGUUGGUGGGGUAACGGCUCACCAAGGCGACGAUACAUAGCCGACCUGAGAGGGUGAUCGGCCACACUGGGACUGAGACACGGCCCAGACUCCUACGGGAGGCAGCAGUAGGGAAUCUUCGGCAAUGGACGGAAGUCUGACCGAGCAACGCCGCGUGAGUGAAGAAGGUUUUCGGAUCGUAAAGCUCUGUUAUAAGAGAAGAACGAGUGUGAGAGUGGAAAGUUCACACUGUGACGGUAUCUUACCAGAAAGGGACGGCUAACUACGUGCCAGCAGCCGCGGUAAUACGUAGGUCCCGAGCGUUGUCCGGAUUUAUUGGGCGUAAAGCGAGCGCAGGCGGUUAGAUAAGUCUGAAGUUAAAGGCUGUGGCUUAACCAUAGUACGCUUUGGAAACUGUUUAACUUGAGUGCAAGAGGGGAGAGUGGAAUUCCAUGUGUAGCGGUGAAAUGCGUAGAUAUAUGGAGGAACACCGGGUGGCGAAAGCGGCUCUCUGGCUUGUAACUGACGCUGAGGCUCGAAAGCGUGGGGAGCAAACAGG
rnacentral:rRNA from 1 species